GAUCUGGUUCAGGACGAACGCUGGCGGCGUGCCUAAUACAUGCAAGUCGAACGGUCUUUCUAUGGAAGCUUGCUUCCACUGAGAAGAUAGUGGCGAACGGGUGAGUAACACGUGGGUAACCUGCCCAUAAGAGGGGGGAUAACAUCCGGAAACGGGUGCUAAUACCGCAUAGUUUUCUUGAUCGCAUGAUCGGGAAAGGAAAGACGGCCUUUGUGCUGUCGCUUAUGGAUGGACCCGCGGCGUAUUAGUUAGUUGGUGAGGUAACGGCUCACCAAGACGAUGAUACGUAGCCGACCUGAGAGGGUGAUCGGCCACAUUGGGACUGAGACACGGCCCAAACUCCUACGGGAGGCAGCAGUAGGGAAUCUUCCGCAAUGGACGAAAGUCUGACGGAGCAACGCCGCGUGAGUUGAAGAAGGUUUUCGGAUCGUAAAACUCUGUUGUCAGAGAAGAACAAGUCGGAGAGUAACUGCUCCGGCCUUGACGGUAUCUGACCAGAAAGCCACGGCUAACUACGUGCCAGCCGCCGC
rnacentral:rRNA from 1 species